AACGAUAUGUGGAGCGGUGAAAUGCGUAGAUAUAUAUCGGAACGCCAAUGGCGAAGGCAGCUAACUGGGCUUUGUCUGACGCUCAGGUACGAAAGCGUGGGUAGCGAACGGGAUUAGAUACCCCGGUAGUCCACGCCGUAAACGAUGCACACUAGGUCGCGGUACCUCUCAUGGUUUCGCGGCCGAAGGUAAACUGGUAAGUGUGCCGCCUGGGGAGUACGGUCGCAAGGCUAAAACUCAAAGGAAUUGACGGGGGCCCGCACAAGCGGUGGAGCAUGUGGUUUAAUUCGAUGAUACGCGAGGAACCUUACCAGGGCUUAAAUGCAUUUUGACAGGGGUAGAGAUACCUUUUCCUUCGGGCAAUUUGCAAGGUGCUGCAUGGUUGUCGUCAGCUCGUGCCGUGAGGUGUCAGGUUAAGUCCUAUAACGAGCGCAACCCCUACCGUUAGUUGCCAGCAUGUCAUGAUGGGGACUCUAACGGGACUGCCGGUGCAAACCGUGAGGAAGGUGGGGAUGACGUCAAAUCAUCACGGCCCUUACGUCCUGGGCCACACACGUGCUACAAUGGCAGGUACAGAGAGCAGCCAUGUCGCAAGGCAGAGCGAAUCUAUAAAACCUGUCACAGUUCGGAUCGGGGUCUGCAACUCGACCCCGUGAAGCUGGAAUCGCUAGUAAUCGGAUAUCAGCCAUGAUCCGGUGAAUACGUUCCCGGGCCUUGUACACACCGCCCGUCACACCAUGGGAG
rnacentral:rRNA from 1 species